AUCAAGUGCUCUUGGAUAAGUCAAGGGAAUAUAAUAAAGAUGGCAAUACUAAUCUACUUAUUUAGACUAUUUAGACUAAACUAAUCUAUUUAUUUAGUGCGAUACCAAACUCCCAAGAAAUGAUUUCACUGACCUAGAAAAAAGAACAAUUGGAAAAAUAUCAAGUGUUCUUGGAUAGAUCGGGCCAAUAAAUAAUAAAGAUGGUAACACUAAUCUAUUUAUUUCGACUAUUUAGACUAAACUAAUCUACUUAUUUAGUGCUAUGCCAACCCCCCAGAAACCAUUUUACUGACCCAGAAAAAAGAAUAUUUGGGAAAAUAUCAAGUGCUCUUGGAUAGGUCGGGUGACUAUAAUAAAAAUGGCAAUCCUAACCUAUUUAUUUAGGGCUAAACCCAUCAAACUCCCAAGACAUAGUUUACUGGCCUAGAAAAAAAUAACAACAAAAUUCAUCUGGAAGAACAAAAGGUCAAAGAUUUCAAGGAAGUGAAUGAACACCAUCUCCCUCACAUCCCGAUGGCCGCAGCCCAGGACCCCGAGCCCAAGCUGGAGCCCUGCCCAGCAGCCCGGACCACUGGAUCUGCUUCCAGUCUAUCCCUCACAGGCAGGAGUCACUUUCCUUGACGCCACUAGCACCAACAGCCAAGAGUGGCAGCUUCGAGGGGCCAUCCGCCCUCCCUCCAGUCCAGCCUUUGAAGCUCUCCUCGUGAGCCCCCUGCCCUCCUGCAAGCUGGCAGCUGCUUCUGGGAGAAAGGCAGCCACAGCCCGGUGAAGCCUGGGAAAAGAAAGUUCCUGCUACCAACGCCUUUGGCACUGUCAACUGGUUCAACAGCAGAAACUGAUACGAUUUUAUCAGUGGAAAUGACAUUAACGAAUUACCAUCUGCUUUGCCUCUCUUCCCUAAGGAUUAUGGGACCUUUCCAUCUGUCCUGCCGCUGAAACUUUCCAUCUGUGUUCUGGGCUCCCCCAUUAGAACGUGAACUCCCAGAGUGCACUGUUCUAUUUGUACCCGAAGACCUCAGCGCUCAUUCAUAUGUCGCUCAUCCUCUCUGACUCAGUUUCCUCCUCGGAUUGCGGACCUUGGAAAACAGAAGGCCGGACCCUUGCCCUCAGGAACCUCCCGGAAGCUGUUCUCCAUUCUAAGGUCUUCCCAAGCUCAGGCACUUCCAUGCUCUAGGAAGCGUUAAGGGUUAAUUGUGGUGAUGUCUGGGACUGGCUGAAGUUGAAUACAGAGAGAAUUCAUCGA